GACGAACGCUGGCGGCGUGCUUAACACAUGCAAGUCGAACGGAAAGGCCCUGCUUUUGCGGGGUGCUCGAGUGGCGAACGGGUGAGUAACACGUGAGUAACCUGCCCUUGACUUUGGGAUAACUUCAGGAAACUGGGGCUAAUACCGGAUAGGAGCUCCUGCUGCAUGGUGGGGGUUGGAAAGUUUCGGCGGUUGGGGAUGGACUCGCGGCUUAUCAGCUUGUUGGUGGGGUAGUGGCUUACCAAGGCUUUGACGGGUAGCCGGCCUGAGAGGGUGACCGGCCACAUUGGGACUGAGAUACGGCCCAGACUCCUACGGGAGGCAGCAGUGGGGAAUAUUGCGCAAUGGGCGGAAGCCUGAUGCAGCAACGCCGCGUGCGGGAUGACGGCCUUCGGGUUGUAAACCGCUUUCGCCUGUGACGAAGCGUGAGUGACGGUAAUGGGUAAAGAAGCACCGGCUAACUACGUG
rnacentral:rRNA from 1 species